UACGUAGGGUCCAAGCGUUAAUCGGAAUUACUGGGCGUAAAGCGUGCGCAGGCGGUUGUGUAAGUCAGAUGUGAAAUCCCCGGGCUCAACCUGGGAAUUGCAUUUGAGACUGCACGGCUAGAGUGUGUCAGAGGGGGGUAGAAUUCCACGUGUAGCAGUGAAAUGCGUAGAGAUGUGGAGGAAUACCGAUGGCGAGGGCAGCCCCCUGGGAUAACACUGACGCUCAUGCACGAAAGCGUGGGGAGCAAACAGG
rnacentral:rRNA from 1 species